GUAGUCCUGGCUGUAAACGAUGUCGACUUGGAGGUUGUGCCCUUGAGGCGUGGCUUCCGGAGCUAACGCGUUAAGUCGACCGCCUGGGGAGUACGGCCGCAAGGUUAAAACUCAAAUGAAUUGACGGGGGCCCGCACAAGCGGUGGAGCACGUGGUUUAAUUCGAUGCAACGCGAAGAACCUUACCUGGUCUUGACAUCCACGGAAGUUUUCAGAGAUGAGAAUGUGCCUUCGGGAACCGUGAGACAGGUGCUGCAUGGCUGUCGUCAGCUCGUGUUGUGAAAUGUUGGGUUAAGUCCCGCAACGAGCGCAACCCUUAUCCUUUGUUGCCAGCGGUCCGGCCGGGAACUCAAAGGAGACUGCCAGUGAUAAACUGGAGGAAGGUGGGGAUGACGUCAAGUCAUCAUGGCCCUUACGACCAGGGCUACACACGUGCUACAAUGGCGCAUACAAAGAGAAGCGACCUCGCGAGAGCAAGCGGACCUCAUAAAGUGCGUCGUAGUCCGGAUUGGAGUCUGCAACUCGACUCCAUGAAGUCGGAAUCGCUAGUAAUCGUGGAUCAGAAUGCCACGGUGAAUACGUUCCCGGGCCUUGUACACACCGCCCGUCACACCAUGGGAGUGGGUUGCAAAAGAAGUAGGUAGCUUAACCUUCGGGAGGGCGCUUACCACUUUGUGAUUCAUGACUGGGGUGAAGUCGUAACAAGGUAACCGUAGGGGAACCUGCGGCUGGAUCACCUCC
rnacentral:rRNA from 1 species